ACAGCCUGUUCCUCAUCAGGUGAUGAGUUAUUAGUUACUAGAGCAAAACAUUUUAUCCGGGAUCUUUUCCAGAAUGCAUUGAAGGAAAUGCUCAAAGAUGAAACAUAUUUUUGUGUUCAUUUCACAACAGCCAUAGACAGAGACACUAUGAAUGAGGUCUUUUUGAAAUGUGAAAGUUUCCUGAAACAGCACAAGAUUUUAAAAUAAUGCAAGUUUCCUCUGAAGAAGGAGGUGUCAGAUGUGUAUGUUUAGGUCACAUGUGAGUCGUGUAACAUGGCUGAAUGCAAAAAAUGUGACAACAGUAAUGAGGAAGACUCUUCUCGUAAGUCUCACCUGGGAAGUGCAAAGCUUGGCAUCCUCACAGGCCAAGAUGAUAAAGACUUCAGGAAAUGACAUCAUACAAAAGGUUCCUUACGUUUUAUCUGAAAAUCUUUUACAGUCAUGAGUCUGAACUAGUGAAGAUCCAAUAAAAACAAAGUGGACAACGCCUUUUAUACAUCUUGCUACUGUUGAGAUUUCAACAAAAUUUUAUUUUGUUACUUUUGUAAUUGUCUUAUUUUAGGUUAUUUACCUGGAUUCUAUAUUUAGUCUGAAUAUAGACAAAUACUUCAAAAAGCAGAGUCAUUACUGCAGUUCCAAGAAGCAUUAAAGUGCCAUUUCCAA